AGCGGUGGAUUAUGUGGUUUAAUUCGAUGAUACGCGAGGAACCUUACCAAGGCUUAAAUGGGAAAUGACAGGUUUAGAAAUAGACUUUUCUUCGGACAUUUUUCAAGGUGCUGCAUGGUUGUCGUCAGCUCGUGCCGUGAGGUGUUAGGUUAAGUCCUGCAACGAGCGCAACCCCUGUCACUAGUUGCCAUCAUUAAGUUGGGGACUCUAGUGAGACUGCCUACGCAAGUAGAGAGGAAGGUGGGGAUGACGUCAAAUCAUCACGGCCCUUACGCCUUGGGCCACACACGUAAUACAAUGGCCGGUACAGAGGGCAGCUACACAGCGAUGUGAUGCAAAUCUCGAAAGCCGGUCUCAGUUCGGAUUGGAGUCUGCAACUCGACUCUAUGAAGCUGGAAUC
rnacentral:rRNA from 1 species